UCUUAUGUACAUGCUUACAACAUAGCAUUAAUGCACCGGAUCCCAUUAGAACUCUGGAGUUAAGCUCGAUCGGACUAGAGUAGUACUAGGAUGGGUGACUGCUCGAGAAGUCUUGUUAUUUUACAU
rfam:Picea glauca, whole genome shotgun sequence.